CCUACGGGAGGCAGCAGUAGGGAAUCUUCCACAAUGGGCGAAAGCCUGAUGGAGCAACGCCGCGUGGGUGAAGAAGGUCUUCGGAUCGUAAAACCCUGUUGUUAGAGAAGAAAGUGCGUGAGAGUAACUGUUCACGUUUCGACGGUAUCUAACCAGAAAGCCACGGCUAACUACGUGCCAGCAGCCGCGGUAAUACGUAGGUGGCAAGCGUUAUCCGGAUUGAUUGGGCGUAAAGGGAACGCAGGCGGUCUUUUAAGUCUGAUGUGAAAGCCUUCGGCUUAACCGGAGUAGUGCAUUGGAAACUGGGAGACUUGAGUGCAGAAGAGGAGAGGGGAACUCAAUGUGUAGCGGUGAAAUGCGUAGAUAUAUGGAAGAACACCAGUGGCGAAAGCGGCUCUCUGGUCUGUAACUGACGCUGAGGUUCGAAAGCGUGGGUAGCAAACAGGAUUAGAUACCCUAGUAGUC
rnacentral:rRNA from 1 species